rnacentral:lncRNA from 1 species
UCAGAAAGUCCAAGCAUGUCAUGGAUAGUCUAUGUAAGUUGUGAAAGAAUUUAUGAAAGAGAGUUUAUGCAAGAAAUGUACAAUUUAAAGGUCAUUUGGCCUCCUGAAUGCUCAAAAAUGUCACUAUGACUCUUAACUGUACAACAUGCCUGCUUUACAGCUAGGUAAAGCCUGGGACACUUGGAGGUAGACACUGGAAAGAGUCAGAACUUAUCUGCACUUCUGUCUGAGUCCUAGGCUCCACAACUAAUACAUACUUCAAGUCCCAAACUUAACAAGGUUUUGGCCAAAAGUAAAAGUCGCUAAGCGUUAACAUUGUUAUUGAGACUACUGAAGAAACAGUUUUACAUGCAAGAUUGUACAACAAAUAAUGAAUGGAAAACUCUAAAGGGUAUUUAAACCCCAGAAAACGGAUUAAUGAAGCCACUGCUUAGUUAAAGACCAUCAAGCUUCAGAUGAUCAUGCAACAAGUGUUCCAGCCAGUUCCGGGUGAAGUCACCACCUGUGGCCAUCAAGGAACUACCCUGACUCCACUAGACAGGGCAGGGCAAGAGUUUCAUGAUCCCCAAUAGCUUUCUCUCCCCUUUUAAAAGGGCUGAAACAAUAACUCUAUACUUCAACUCAUUUUCAGCUCUGAGUCAAGAAAACUUUUCUUUUGAGCUGUUGACAGCUUGUAGCAACAAUAUUUGGAGCAUAUUUAUUUCUCUCUACCUGAUUUCUCCAGAAUUUUGAAACUAUUUGUGAGUAUUCUUAACUUAAUGGGAAUAUAGUUAUUUGCAUAAGUGCAAUAAAAAUGUCUUUUUUUGCAACAGGAAACCGUUGGAGAAACUGGUUACCUUACCAAGGCUUUGGCUGGGAUGGUCAACAAACUUGACUGGAAAUAAACUUGACUUACAGAGACAAGAAAAACCCCUUGGGAAAACUACCCUCAUACCUUGUCUACACAGUCCCUGUACAGGGUUCCUGACCUGUGCUGUGUUUUCUUGAAGCCCUGCAAACUGAAGCUAGACAACUUAAACUUCAGAAGAAAUAACAGCAACCUAUUUACAUAUAUAAGCUACUUUCAUACCUGACUGGUGAUGUAUGGACAUCAGAGUAAUAUGGCCUAUAUCAGUUUUUCAUGAUUGUUGGUUUUUUAUUGUUGUUUUUUCUCCCUACCUCUUCUUAUUUUCUCUUCCUAGGACGUGAGACUUCACAACCUGCUAAAAAUGAGCUUCCCUAAUAAUAUGGGACCUACCUGUCUAGGAACAAACCAUCCUAGCCAUUAAAGAUUAGAUGAAACCUGAGACCAGAGAUUCAUUUUCUUCUAAAAUACUUUCUCCGAAAGAGUCUUAAAAAGACAAGGGGAGAAAUGUAAAAGGAAAAUAAAUCUUGGGACCCCCAACUCA